CUCCUGGGAAGUCCUCGUGUUGCACCCCUCUCUUUUUCUUCGCAUUUUUUUCGUUGGGGUUAUCGUUUCCGUCAGUCCAGCAUGCUAGCUUUUAUGCACCCCUUUCAUCUUCUUUGCAUUUUUUUUGUUGGGUUUAUUGCUUACGUUGGUCCAGGACGCUCGAUUUCUUGGCUUAGCCUUCCUCAGGCCAAAUAUACGAGCCGCUGAUCUCGUUUUGGGUACUAAAGCAUCGUGGUGACGUCGAAAUCAGCGAAAGCUCUAUAAGUUGCACCUCUCCGGUGUUGAAGUGCAGCAUUGCAUUUAGAUCCUUUUAUAACAAUUACAUAUGCUUAUGCUGAUGGGUGUGAUCAUACCAACACUAAUUCACCGGA
rnacentral:rRNA from 1 species